rnacentral:piRNA from 1 species
UGCAAUCAUUGCUCAUUGAAGCCUCAAC